rnacentral:rRNA from 1 species
CCGUACACAAAAGCGCAUGUGCUGUGAGCUCGAUGAGUAGGGCGGGACACGUGGUAUCCUGUCUGAAUAUGGGGGGACCAUCCUCCAAGGCUAAAUACUCCUGACUGACCGAUAGUGAACCAGUACCGUGAGGGAAAGGCGAAAAGAACCCCGGCGAGGGGAGUGAAAAAGAACCUGAAACCGUGUACGUACAAGCAGUGGGAGCACAGGUUUACCUGUGUGACUGCGUACCUUUUGUAUAAUGGGUCAGCGACUUAUAUUCUGUAGCAAGGUUAACCGAAUAGGGGAGCCGGAGGGAAACCGAGUCUUAAUUGGGCGUUAAGUUGCAGGGUAUAGACCCGAAACCCGGUGAUCUAGCCAUGGGCAGGUUGAAGGUUGGGUAACACUAACUGGAGGACCGAACCGACUAAUGUUGAAAAAUUAGCGGAUGACCUGUGGCUGGGGGUGAAAGGCCAAUCAAACCGGGAGAUAGCUGGUUCUCCCCGAAAGCUAUUUAGGUAGCGCCUCGUGAAUUCAUCUCCGGGGGUAGAGCACUGUUUCGGCUAGGGGGCCAUCCCGGCUUACCAACCCGAUGCAAACUGCGAAUACCGGAGAAUGUUAUCACGGGAGACACACGGCGGGUGCUAACGUCCGUCGUGAAGAGGGAAACAACCCAGACCGCCAGCUAAGGUCCCAAAGUCAUGGUUAAGUGGGAAACGAUGUGGGAAGGCCCAGACAGCCAGGAUGUUGGCUUAGAAGCAGCCAUCAUUUAAAGAAAGCGUAAUAGCUCACUGGUCGAGUCGGCCUGCGCGGAAGAUGUAACGGGGCUAAACCAUGCACCGAAGCUGCGGCAGCGAACGUAUCACCCAAGACAACUUUACGGAGUUGACGAUUGACGGAGCGAAGCGACGUCAAAGCGUUCAUUAAAGUCGAGUUGGCUUAGGGAUACGUUCGUUGGGUAGGGGAGCGUUCUGUAAGCCUGUGAAGGUGUGUCGUGAGGCAUGCUGGAGGUAUCAGAAGUGCGAAUGCUGACAUAAGUAACGAUAAAGCGGGUGAAAAGCCCGCUCGCCGGAAGACCAAGGGUUCCUGUCCAACGUUAAUCGGGGCAGGGUGAGUCGACCCCUAAGGCGAGGCCGAAAGGC